rnacentral:misc_RNA from 1 species
GGGCAGCGACGGCAUCUCCCGCACGCCUCUUCAAUCGUGGGAACGAGCUUUGGCUCGUCCGGGGUCGGUUUUCCUGUGUUGCAUACCUAUUGCGAGGGCAUUCGGUCGGCUAAAAUGGUCCCAUCUCCGCCUCGUGCCGGCGCUCCUUGCGGGCGUGCGACGCGGGGUGGAUCUCACGGCACGCGUCGUGUUUCGCACCUCAUUCACCUUUGCCGGUGUUUGGGUAGGCGACCCACGGCGUGCUGCCCGUUGCCUCGGGUACGGAACAUCGGGUGGGUACGAGGCAUCGACCUCCGAUCACCACACGAAUGCGUUCUACGCUUUAUGCGAACGACGGCCGCRCCGGGCCUUCGACGGAGCACUUGGUGCUCGGCCGAAGCCGGGUCGGCGUCGGUGAGGGAUGCUACCUGGUUGAUCCUGCCAGUAGUCAUAUGCUUGUCUCAAAGAUUAAGCCAUGCA